AAUCUUCGACUACUCUCAAACAGAGGGAUCGUUGGAGCUCCAACUUGCCAAAGCAUUUGCAAUAUUUGCAGAAAUUGAAAUAUGGGACUGGGAAGCAGAGGAGUAAUUGGUGAUAAAUGGUCCUCGAGGAUACUUUGGUUCACUGCUAUUGGAAGUGCAAUUGGGUUUGCUUGAAGCCAACCUGCAAGUACUAAAACUUGAUGGGAACCCAUUGAGAAGUAUCCGAAGGGCUAUAUUGGAAGGAGGAACAAAAGCUAUCCUGAAAUAUUUGAAGGACAAAAUCGUUAAGCAAUAAUGGUUUUGUGUCUCUCUUCACGAAGAUGCAUUAGCAGGCUUUGUGUGCAUUAUUUCUGGGUUGAUGAACUGAGAAAGAACAGAAAUGGUUUGCUUUGAUUUAUUUCAAUUUUCCAAUUGGUUGUGGCGGGCUUGAGUUGAUAUAAUACUUCCAGAUACUUAUAUUAUCAUUGAACAAUCUCUGUUAUUACAACUAGCUUUUAGAUUGCUAUUUGGAUGUUACUUCGUGUGGGCUGAAUCAAAAAGUUCGUGAAAACUUGUGUAAAUCAUCGCCAAUGUUAGUGCACGAACGUGCUUUUUUCCA